UGGAGAAUAAUCCCACAAGACAAUGUAUGACCCCUACCAACUUCAAGACAACAUACCACUUAAUUAAAGAAGAUCAAAUGAAAUAAGAGAAAAAGAAUUAACUCGCAAGCUAGCUUGAGGAGCUAAACUUGUGGCUAGGUGAUAAUAAAUUAUACCACUUAAACUAUUAUUGCUGAGGUAUAAGCUGAUAAGAGCUGUCAUGUUCCCCACUUCUCUCGGGAUUGAUCCGCUAAGUUCGUUGGAAUCCAACCACAUGUCCUGCAAAUUAUGAAGAUUUCCAAUCUCUUUCGGAAUAGUACCUGGAGAAUAAUGAAGUCAUCAAAGUCAAGUUCCAUAUUGUUAAGUAUAACGAUCAUAACAAUAAUAAGUAAAAACAUGUGAUUUGAUCGGAUGUGAGAUUGAGCUGUAUACUAUUUAAGUAUAAUGAUAUUUAUUCCACUAAUCAAUGGAAGACUGAACAAUAUAGAUUUGAGAAGAACAUAGCUGUAAAAUGCUAUAUGGAAAAGUCAAAUAUACAUGAAAAUUAAGAAACAUUUGAAUAUGUGUAAAACUCUAAGAAAGUUAGAAAUCUUACCGGUUAAAGCAUUUUUUUGAAGGUAUAAAAACUCUAGUACUGCUUUCAUGUUCCAAAUUUCUGAAGGCAAUACCCCAUUGAGUGUGUUACUUGAUAAGUCAAUCAAUGUCAAGGAAAACAUGUUGAAAAUGGUUGGUGGCAAAGUGCCUGACAACUUGUUCCAACUCAGGUCCAACACUGCUAAAUUAUGAAGAUGAUGAAUCUCUUCUGGAAUAACUCCUUCACAUAUCCAAAUAAUCACAAAAGGUUAGUCUAGCUAAUUCUAGAUUGAAACGUAUAGGGAAAAUAUUACUUUAUCACCCGAUAUAAAGUUUAAAUUUGACCCUCAAACGCAAAGCACAUAAAUCAAAAAAUUAAAUAAUAUGGCAUUAAAUGCAUGAUUUGACCUCAUAUAUAUAGGAAUCAACUUACCAGUCAACUUAUUUUGUCACACCCCAAUUCUUGAAACAAUAACUAUAACUGGGGUACGACUAAUCAUUAAAAUGAACAAGGGAAAAACCUUGUGAAAUCCGAAUUGAAGGGAUAACAAUCGGGCAUCGCCCCUUUAGAUGAAGAAAGACAGGUAUCCAAUUGAUACAAAUCAAUCAACAAACAUGACAAACGUCAGGAUCACAAGUUUAGUUUCAUGCUUCAGAUAACCAACAUUCCUUAAUCAAAAUACUUGAGAGUCAAAAGUCUAGGCUCAACAAAAGAUAUCGUUUCGAGUCAUAUCAUAAAGGUCUUAAGUCAGGAGAACGAAAGACAGAUAAAGGCUAGUACUACAACGGAAGUCAAAACACGGAGUUGAACCCUAGCCUCAGCUCUCCCCGUCAACGCCAUCCAUCAACCUGAAAAACAUUUGAAAAUAUUUGGGCUAAGUACUAAUGUACUUAGUGGGCUGCAACUUUUAAAACAUUUCACAAUUCGUAAGAGCAGUUUAUCCAAUUAUUCAUAACAUAACUUAGAAGGUUUUAAAGUAAAGGAACUUCUAAGCAUGUUAAAAUAUUUCAUUUUAUUAGCGCGCUGUUGUCACACUUUGUUCUGUUACUCGCUGUGAUCCCGGACCUUUUAGCCACCGACGGAUCCCUCAUUCCCAUGAUACUUGCCCUGAGGACGUAACUCAGACAAGUUGAAUUGACCUCGGGACGCUACCCAGGCAGGCCUUACAUGAUACAUGCUCCGAAACACAUCCAGCCGAGCACCCUUAUAACGCCUCUUGCAUAAAUUAGUGCCCGAUGAAGAUCAACCCACCGAAAUAACUAACAAGUGUACACAAUUCUCAAAUAACGUGUUAGGCCAUAAGAGAACCUCGAUCGAUCCAUGAAUUGCGAGCCUUAAACAUAACAGAGUGCACAAAAAACAUUUAUUGGAUAAACAGUUUUCAUUUCAUGAAAUAUUUAGAGCUUAAUAACUUAAUCAUACAUUUGGAAAGUAAGCCCACCUGAUUAUAGCUCUAGUUGUGGUGCAGUAGCUCUCGUCUAGGUAUUACUCUCGCGCUUGACCUUUAUUGCGAGAAUUUAAAAUAAGAUAUUUGCUCGAAGAGAAUCCUCGAUAAAUGAGAAUGCGAAAAUAAAUAUGCAUGACUCUCUUAUGCAAGAUUCAUUAUUCUAGAUGAUAAUGGGGAAAAUUCUACUAUAAAUCCCAACUAUCGAAUUGAUUAAGUAAGAUAACUAACUGAAGCUCGUCUCGUACGAUCGGAUAAAUAACUAUGAUUAAUCAGUUCAUCUUAGGGUGUUCUAACUUACAUGAGGAUUAAAAGAUCUCGCUCUAUUUAAUCAAUUGAAAGAAAAUAGCGAAGUCGGCUCAUUCGCUUAGUAAUACCUUGAGUGUUUUGCUUUGUUGGCUGUCUGGUGUUGUUGGAUUAAAUGAAUUGAAAAAUUUGAAAUAUUCAAGGUUGUUGUUCCUCUUAAUCAAUGCAGGAGUAGAUGUGGAAGGAGUUGGAUGAAUUAAAGCUAAGUCUUACCUUGAAGUUGACAGAGCAAUGGGUAGGAGUUCUCCUGCUCUUCAGUGAUCUGAUUUCUUUAGUGAAGAAUGAAGAGGUGAAGAGAUCGCUUGGCAGAUAUUGAGAGAGGGUGUUGGCUGCACUCUUGAGUGUGCUAGGGAGGUGGUAGGAGGAGUAGGGAGAAGGGGAUUGGGAGGUUGGGUGUGCUAAGGAAUAGGUGGUAGGGUGUAGGGAAAAGGGGAUUGGUGGAGUUCGGCGGCUGGCAGUUGUGCUGUUACAGCUACACGCACCCCCCCCCCCCCCCCCUUCCCUUUUUUUCUCCUUUGCUUCCUUGUUGGUUGAUGGUCUUAAACAAAAGAAUGGUGUUGCAUUUGAUGUGUAGUAAUGUGGGAUAUGGCUAAAGUAAAACUCUUGUCUUUUGGGAAUUCUAAACUUGUAGUAUAGUAACGGGCUUAAUGAAAUACUAGUCUUGGAUUCUCACUAAUGUAGCGUGUAUAUAUAUAUAUAUAUACUCGCACGAUAUCUGAUUUCUUGCUUGCUAGCCUCGAUGGACUGUAAAAUAAAUUUAAAUUAAAUCCGUAGAUUUAAUCUGUUUGCUCAUCUUAUAUCUAAAUUAAAUCCGAAGAUUUAAUUCUCCUCACAAGCUGGAAUAAAUUCACGACUUAAGCAAGUGCAAAAAUAAUAACAAGUAAUAAUAUAAAUAAUAUUUCUAUGGCACUUAAUAAAUAACAUGACUUCGCUAAGUCAGUUAUAAUUCUGAAAUAAUAAAAAUAAUAACGAUUGACUGGCUCAAUAAUCCAUCUCGCGAUUUCUCACGUGAAAUAAAAUAGUAACUCUGCUUCAAGUACUAUAUAACUCAUAGUCAUAAGUCGAAAUUAAUCAAAGAUCAACACUGAAAGAUGCAAUAAUUAAUUAUUGCAUUACUGGUUUUAAUAAAUUAAAAGAGCGGGUUAUUACAUAUUUGCACUAAGGUCCAACGUUUGAGAAGAAGUUAAAGGUCCGUUUUGAAGUUCUAAAAUAGAUAGCGGUUAAUAUUAUAAAUUAAUAUUAUUGAAAUAUUACAAUUAUGAAUACUAUUUUAACUUUUUACAAUAUGAACUUAUUGUUGAAUCAUAUUCACCUUGAUCAUCAUUAGGAUCUCCUGUAAUAUCAACCAAAAUGACUUAGAUCCAUUUAUUUAAUUUAAAUAUUCUCUCUUUGUUCUUACUCAUUAUAACUUGAUUUAAUUGUAAUUCCUAAUAAAAUUAAGAAAAUACUUUAUAAACUAUAAAGUUGUUAAUUUAUCGAUAUAUUAAUAAUUUAUUAAAUGAAAUAAGAGAAAAAGAAAUAACUCGCAAGCUAGCUUGCGGAGCUAAACUUGUGGCUAGGUGAAUAAUAAUUCAUACCACUUAAUAAUUGGAAGACAAAGAACAAUAUAUAGAUUUGAGAAGAAAAUCUCUUGUGGAAUAACUCCUACAAAUAUAUAUCCAAUUCACACAAUAUAAUAUCUUUUACCUGAAUAAAUCACACAAAACGUUGCUAGAGCAAAAGUAGGACAAAAAGGGAUAAACUUGUGGUUAGCUAAAUAAUAAAUCAUACCACUUAAAGUAUUAUCGUAGAGGUAUAAUCCGACAAGAGCUGUAAUGUUCCCCACUUCUCUUGGGAUUGAUCCACUAAAUUUGUUAGAAUACAUCCACAAUGCCUCUAAAUUAUUAAGAUGGCCAAUCUCUUUCGGAAUAGUACCUGGAGGAAAAGUUAAAUAAAUGUUAAAAAUGUGUGAGCGACAAAGAGUUCUAAUAUUCCAAAUUUGUGUGUGCAAAGCUCCACUAAGUUUGUGGGAAUCCCAAAAAAAAGAAAUUAACUCGCAAGCUAGCCUGCGGAGCUAAACUUGUGGCUAGGUGAUAAUAAAUCAUACCACUUAAACUAUUAAUCUCGAGGUGUAAGAUGCCCAGAGCUGUCAUGUUCCCCACUUCUCUCGG
rnacentral:lncRNA from 1 species